rnacentral:rRNA from 1 species
UACGUAGGUGGCAAGCGUUUGUCCGGAUUUAUUGGGUUUAAAGGGUGCGUAGGCGGCUUGAUAAGUCAGUGGUGAAAGCCGAUCGCUUAACGAUCGAACUGCCAUUGAUACUGCCAGGCUUGAGUAUAGUUGAGGUAGGCGGAAUUGACAGUGUAGCGGUGAAAUGCAUAGAUAUUGUCAAGAACACCAAAUUGCGAAGGCAGCUUACUAAAGUAUAACUGACGCUGAGGCACGAAAAGUGCGGGGAUCAAACAGG